rnacentral:rRNA from 1 species
UACGAAGGGGGCUAGCGUUGUUCGGAAUCACUGGGCGUAAAGGGCGCGUAGGCGGCUUUGUAAGUCGGGGGUGAAAGCCUGUGGCUCAACGACAGAAUUGCCUUCGAUACUGCAUGGCUUGAGACCGGAAGAGGUAAGUGGAACUGCGAGUGUAGAGGUGAAAUUCGUAGAUAUUCGCAAGAACACCAGUGGCGAAGGCGGCUUACUGGUCCGGUUCUGACGCUGAGGCGCGAAAGCGUGGGGAGCAAACAGG